UACAGAGGGUGCGAGCGUUAAUCGGAAUUACUGGGCGUAAAGCGCGCGUAGGCGGCUUUGCAAGCCGGAUGUGAAAUCUCCGGGCUUAACCCGGAAACUGCCAUUGAUACUAUAGAUCUUGAAUAUCCUGGAGGUGAGCGGAAUAUGUCAUGUAGCGGUGAAAUGCUUAGAUAUGACAUAGAACACCAAUUGCGAAGGCAGCUCACUACGGGAUCAUUGACACUGAGGCACGAAAGCGUGGGGAUCAAACAGG
rnacentral:rRNA from 1 species